rnacentral:rRNA from 1 species
AAUAGAUACCCCGGUAGUCCAUGCCGUAAACGUUGGGCACUAGGUGUGGGGCUCAUUCCACGAGUUCCGUGCCGCAGCAAACGCAUUAAGUGCCCCGCCUGGGGAGUACGGCCGCAAGGCUAAAACUCAAAGGAAUUGACGGGGGCCCGCACAAGCGGCGGAGCAUGCGGAUUAAUUCGAUGCAACGCGAAGAACCUUACCAAGGCUUGACAUGCACGGGAAGCCACCAGAGAUGGUGGUCUCUUUGGACACUCGUGCACAGGUGGUGCAUGGUUGUCGUCAGCUCGUGUCGUGAGAUGUUGGGUUAAGUCCCGCAACGAGCGCAACCCUCGUCCCAUGUUGCCAGCGGGUUAUGCCGGGGACUCAUGGGAGACUGCCGGGGUCAACUCGGGGGAAGGUGGGGAUGACGUCAAAUCAUCAUGCCCCUUAUGUCUUGGGCUUCACGCAUGCUACAAUGGCCGGUACAAAGGGCUGCGAUACCGUAAGGUGGAGCGAAUCCCAAAAAGCCGGUCUCAGUUCGGAUUGGGGUCUGCAACG